GGUGGCUGUUAUGGCCUCACCCCUGGACUCAUUCUGUGCAGUCUCCUCCCCCUUCUCUCCACCCCAUGCAGGGACAGCACUCUGGGUCAGCCUGCCCAGUGAGUCACAGCAGACAGAGGUGCCACUGCACUUAAAGUGAAACCCGGACCUUUGACCUGCAGGCAGAGUGACUCAGGCACGCCUGUGAAGGUCUGGAGGAAGGGCGCCCAGGCUACAGGAACAGCAAGCGGGGGCGCCCCCAGGUGGAAUCAGUCUUGCUGCACCCCAGGGCCAGGAAGAGCCUCCACCUGCGAGGCUGGGCGGAGCCAACGAGAGAGCAGCAGCCAGGUGCCUCCUUUCCUGUCGGCCAAAAAUAAAACAAACUCCUCUCUCACCCUCCACCUUCUUCUGCUUUCUGGGGGAUCCUUUAUGUUUCCUGGCUCCAACACUAUAAACCCCUCCUUGGAACUAGGUCCCUGUUUGCCCAGGAAAGUUACAAGGGAGUGGCCCAGUCUGUUUUGCCUUGGGUGGCCAGGGGUGAGCUGAUUUAUGUCACAAACAAACCAUCUGCCCUUGUCUGGCCCAGUAGCUAAUCUCUAAGCAGCCCCCCAAAUCUUCCUGCCCAACCAGGAACAAUUCUACUUUCUGUCUUUUUUUUUUUUUCUAGAAAGGCUGUGGCAGGUGCAGCAGCCUCCUGGGGGAAGAGGGAGGUGAGGAGACACAAGUCUCUUUUCGUCUCCUCCCAGCCAGGUCCCUCAGCAUCCGCUCAGCUGGGGGUACCUGCGUCUGGAUGAAGGUGGGGUAUGCUGCUUUCCCUGUCUUGUAGCCUGUGGCUAAAGCCAAUGUCCCCGACUAUAUUAGUGCUCUAUUGCUGUGUAGCCGGAGUACCACUAACUUUUAGCAGCUUAAAACAACACACAGUAAUUAUCUCCCAGUUUCUGUGGUCAACAGUCUGGACACAGCUUAACUGGCUCCUCCGUUAGGAACUCACAAGGGUGCCACCAAGGCGUCUGCUGGGGCGUGUUCUUACUCGGAAGCUAGACUGGGGAAGAAUCUGCUUCCUAGCUCACUUAGGUUGUUGGCAGAAUUCAUUCCCUUUGAGGUUACGGGACUGAGCAUCCUGGUUCUGGCUGGCUGCAGGCUGGGGACCACUCUCAGCCCCUAGAGGCUGCUGGGAGAUCCUCACUGUCUGUGCCUCUCCGGCAUGACCGGCUACUCCCCCAAAACCGCACAGACAGUCUCUAGGGCAAGUCGGCUAGCGAGACAGAACCUCAUAUGAAAGUGAAAUCAAAUCCAUUGCCUUUGCCGUAUUCCGCAAGUCACAGUUCCUGCCCACGCUCUUUCUAUUUUUAUGUAUAUCCCAUUAUCCUUAGUCUUUUUCUGAAUGAUUUGAGAGGAAGCUGUAGACAAAAUACCCCUCAAAUACUCCAGAGUGUACUUGCCCCCAAAUAAGGGCACUCUCCUACACAAACAUAUAAAAUACAACUUUCCGAGUUAAGAAGUCAACAGAGACUCAGCAUUACCAUCCCUUCUGUGGCCCCUAGAAGUCUCUGAUGGCUCCCUUGCUUUGUAACAGCUGAUGUUCCAGGUUGGUCUAGUACAUUUCUGUCCGUACCUGGAAUCAGCAUCUUCCCCAGGGAGCCCUCAUUAUCUCUAGGGAUAAAUGGCAUUUCAAGACCACAGUCUGGGGCCUUUGCAUCCAUUUUUUAAAAAUGUAAUUUGGCUUUAGCCCAGGAGUUCGAGACCAGCUGGGGUAACAUCGGGAGACCCCCGUCUCUACAAAACAAUUAUUUAAAAAAUUAGCCGAGCGUGGCGACACGUCCCUGUGGUCCCAGCUGCUCAGGAGGCUGAAGAGAGAAGAUCGCUCAAGCCUGGAGGAGUUUGAGGCUGCAGUGAGCCAGCAUCACACCACUGCACCCCAGCCUAACAGAGCAAGAC
rnacentral:lncRNA from 1 species